UGCUGGAGGUAUCAGAAGUGCGAAUGCUGACAUAAGUAACGAUAAAGCGGGUGAAAAGCCCGCUCGCCGGAAGACCAAGGGUUCCUGUCCAACGUUAAUCGGGGCAGGGUGAGUCGACCCCUAAGGCGAGGCCGAAAGGCGUAGUCGAUGGGAAACGGGUUAAUAUUCCCGUACUUGGUGUUACUGCGAAGGGGGGACGGAGAAGGCUAUGUUGGCCGGGCGACGGUUGUCCCGGUUUAAGCGUGUAGGUGUGUGUUCCAGGUAAAUCCGGUUCACUUUAACACUGAGGCGUGACGACGAGGCACUACGGUGCUGAAGCAACAAAUGCCCUGCUUCCAGGAAAAGCCUCUAAGCAUCAGGUAACAUCAAAUCGUACCCCAAACCGACACAGGUGGUCAGGUAGAGAAUACCAAGGCGCUUGAGAGAACUCGGGUGAAGGAACUAGGCAAAAUGGUGCCGUAACUUCGGGAGAAGGCACGCUGACACGUAGGUGAAGUGAUUUACUCAUGGAGCUGAAGUCAGUCGAAGAUACCAGCUGGCUGCAACUGUUUAUUAAAAACACAGCACUGUGCAAACACGAAAGUGGACGUAUACGGUGUGACGCCUGCCCGGUGCCGGAAGGUUAAUUGAUGGGGUCAGCGCAAGCGAAGCUCCUGAUCGAAGCCCCGGUAAACGGCGGCCGUAACUAUAACGGUCCUAAGGUAGCGAAAUUCCUUGUCGGGUAAGUUCCGACCUGCACGAAUGGCGUAAUGAUGGCCAGGCUGUCUCCACCCGAGACUCAGUGAAAUUGAACUCGCUGUGAAGAUGCAGUGUACCCGCGGCAAGACGGAAAGACCCCGUGAACCUUUACUAUAGCUUGACACUGAACAUUGAGCCUUGAUGUGUAGGAUAGGUGGGAGGCUUUGAAGUGUGGACGCCAGUCUGCAUGGAGCCGACCUUGAAAUACCACCCUUUAAUGUUUGAUGUUCUAACGUGGACCCGUAAUCCGGGUUGCGGACAGUGUCUGGUGGGUAGUUUGACUGGGGCGGUCUCCUCCUAAAGAGUAACGGAGGAGCACGAAGGUUGGCUAAUCCUGGUCGGACAUCAGGAGGUUAGUGCAAUGGCAUAAGCCAGCUUGACUGCGAGCGUGACGGCGCGAGCAGGUGCGAAAGCAGGUCAUAGUGAUCCGGUGGUUCUGAAUGGAAGGGCCAUCGCUCAACGGAUAAAAGGUACUCCGGGGAUAACAGGCUGAUACCGCCCAAGAGUUCAUAUCGACGGCGGUGUUUGGCACCUCGAUGUCGGCUCAUCACAUCCUGGGGCUGAAGUAGGUCCCAAGGGUAUGGCUGUUCGCCAUUUAAAGUGGUACGCGAGCUGGGUUUAGAACGUCGUGAGACAGUUCGGUCCCUAUCUGCCGUGGGCGCUGGAGAACUGAGGGGGGCUGCUCCUAGUACGAGAGGACCGGAGUGGACGCAUCACUGGUGUUCGGGUUGUCAUGCCAAUGGCACUGCCCGGUAGCUAAAUGCGGAAGAGAUAAGUGCUGAAAGCAUCUAAGCACGAAACUUGCCCCGAGAUGAGUUCUCCCUGAGACUUAGAGUCUCCUGAAGGAACGUUGAAGACGACGACGUUGAUAGGCCGGGUGUGUAAGCGCAG
rnacentral:rRNA from 1 species